AGCCAGCUGAGGAGUUUCAAAUAGGAUGAAAUGCGUGUUCUGGAU
rfam:Schistosoma mansoni, Puerto Rico, WGS project CABG01000000 data, contig: 0149